UACGAAGGGUGCAAGCGUUAAUCGGAAUUACUGGGCGUAAAGGGUGCGUAGGCGGGCAGGUAAGUCCGUGGUGAAAUCUCUGAGCUUAACUCAGAAACUGCCAUGGAUACUAUUUGUCUUGAAUAUUGUGGAGGUAAGCGGAAUAUGUCAUGUAGCGGUGAAAUGCUUAGAUAUGACAUAGAACACCAAUUGCGAAGGCAGCUUACUACACAGUUAUUGACGCUGAGGCACGAAAGCGUGGGGAUCAAACAGG
rnacentral:rRNA from 1 species